UUUGGUGAAAGCAUGCCAGGAAAAAUAAUCAUUAACUCAAUAAAGGUGAACUCUGGCUCACUUCUUUGAGUACUGCAUUGGUCAUUUCAUAAUGGGUUAUAAAGUAAUGAUAGUAAAGUUGACAGUACUGAAAAAAACAAGAGUAAUAUCUAACUUGUAUGAGAAUUAAAGAAAUAAAAAGGAUGUCAAAGCCUGAUGUUGUAAUUGUUAGCUGAGGAGAGGCAGAGUCAAGUAAUAGGAAACAGUAGUCAUUUCAAAUGUCGAAUUCACCAAACUUCUCUAUGAUAUGUCCACGAACCCGUGUCACAUCUGAAGAUGUAAAAAACCAGAGUAUACUCAACAAAGUAUUCAACAGGAUACAACCUGAAAUACUGCAGUUAUUUAAGUUUUUCUAAAAAUUUGACAUAAGCCGGAGAGCCGGCACUGACAGAUGAAAUGUGAUUGGUCGGGGCAGAGGAAGCAAAAGCAACCCUACCAGAAUCCAUCAGAACGGCAUAACUUUCUCCAAGUAGCUGCUCUUUAAUUGUGCUACUAUGUCUGUAAAGAAUACACCAAAGCAAGUAAGGUGGUUUUUAAUAUUAAUACAACUUUUUAUUUAAAACACCACCAACAACAAAUUAACACAUUUUUGGUGCCUGGAACAGAAUUUAAAAGACUGCGGCACCGUCUAUAGGCCCAGAUGCUCUCCUAAAGAUAAGUAUCUACAAAACUCCUAAAGGGAUUGUUAAGGAUGGAACCAUAAAAUGACGGGGAAAUGAAAGGACAAACACACUCAAGAUGAUUACUGGUCAAAGAAAACCCUAAACUGGAUUUAACUAAGGAACUGACCUUAGUCUAGGUGCUUAACGGUGAGAUAUUGCAAAUAAAACCACUGAAAAACACUAAAGUUUUAUUCCAGGCACAAGCUUUAUAUCGUGUGUGUGUGUGUGUGUGUGUGUGUGUGCGUGCGUGCGUGCGUGCGUGUAAGUAAACAAUUUCUAAGUUAGCCUGCUGCCUGAACCUGACAUCAACAGCUCGAUGGAACAAAAUCCCCCUCGAAAGAAAUUACGUUUCUGUCACGAGAAAUACAAGCGAGAGAAAAAAAAACACAAAGCCACAAGGAAAAACAAACAAAAAAGUAAAGAAAACAAUCUUCGAGAAUGACAGGUCGCCAAAGUUGUGGCCGUUA